rnacentral:tRNA from 1 species
GCGGGAGUAGCUCAAUGGCAGAGCAACAGCCUUCCAAGCUGAAGACGGGGGUUCGAUUCCCCUCUCCCGCUCCA